rnacentral:tRNA from 1 species
GCCCCGGUGGCUCAGCUGGUAGAGCGCAUGCCACGCACGCAGCAGCUCAGGUUCGAAUCCAGCUUGGGCCC